UACGGGGGGGGCAAGCGUUGUUCGGAAUUACUGGGCGUAAAGGGCUCGUAGGUGGCCAACUAAGUCAGACGUGAAAUCCCUCGGCUUAACCGGGGAACUGCGUCUGAUACUGGAUGGCUAGAGUUUGGGAGAGGGAUGCGGAAUUCCAGGUGUAGCGGUGAAAUGCGUAGAUAUCUGGAGGAACACCGGUGGCGAAGGCGGGUCUCUGGGCCGAUACUGACGCUGAGGAGCGAAAGCGUGGGGAGCAAACAGG
rnacentral:rRNA from 1 species